GAUGAAGAACGUAGCGAAAUGCGAAAAGUAGUGUGAAUUGCAGAAUUCAGUGAAUCAUCGAAUCUUUGAACGCACAUUGCGCCCCUUGGUAUUCCAUGGGGCAUGCCUGUUCGAGCGUCAUUUGUACCCUCAAGCACGGCUUGUGUGUUGGGCCUCCGUCCUCCUCCCGGGGGACGGGCCCGAAAGGCAGCGGCGGCACCGCGUCCGGUCCUCGAGCGUAUGGGGCUUCGUCACCCGCUCUUGUAGGCCCGGCCGGCGCUUGCCGACACAUCAAUCUUUUUUCCAGGUUGACCUCGGAUCAGGUAGGGAUACCCGCUGAACUUAAGCAUAUCAAUAAGCGGAGGA
rnacentral:misc_RNA from 1 species